rnacentral:rRNA from 1 species
UACGAAGGGGGCUAGCGUUGCUCGGAAUUACUGGGCGUAAAGCGCACGUAGGCGGCUUCUUAAGUCGGUGGUGAAAUCCUGGAGCUCAACUCCAGAACUGCCUUCGAUACUGGGAAGCUCGAGUCCGGGAGAGGUGAGUGGAACUGCGAGUGUAGAGGUGAAAUUCGUAGAUAUUCGCAAGAACACCAGUGGCGAAGGCGGCUCACUGGCCCGGUACUGACGCUGAGGUGCGAAAGCGUGGGAGCAAACAGG